GAGUUUGAUCCUGGCUCAGGGUGAACACUAGUGGUGCGCCUAACACAUGCAAGUUGAGCGAGAACCUAAAAUGCUUGCAUUCUAGGAGACAGCAGCAAACGGGUGAGUAACACAUUGGAAUCUGCCCCCAAGACAGGGAUAGCCAGGAGAAAUCCUGAUUAAUACCGGAUACCCUCUAAGGAGGAAAGAACUUUGCUUGGGGAGGAGCCUGUGGACUAUCAGCUAGUUGGUAAGGUAAAAGCUUACCAAGGCAAUGACAGAUAGCUGGUCUGAGAGGACGAUCAGCCACAAUGGAACUGAGACACGGUCCAUACUCCUACGGGAGGCAGCAGUGAGGAAUCUUCCACAAUGGGCGGAAGCCUGAUGGAGCGACACCACGUGAAGGAAGAAGGCCUAACGGUUGUAAACUUCUUUUCUGGAGGAGCAAAAUGAGAGUACUCCAGGAAUAAGGGACGGCUAAAUAUGUGCCAGCAGCCGCGGUAAUACGUAUGUCCCAAGUGUUACCCGGAAUUAUUGGGUGUAAAGGGUCUGUAGGUGGAGUAACAAGUUAUAUAUGAAAGACUAGAGCUCAACUCUAAGUAUGUAUGUAAAACUAUUACCCUAGAAUUAGGGAGAGGUAAGCGGAAUUCUGAGUGUAGGAGUGCAAUCCGUAGAUACUCAGAAGAACACCAAAAGCGAAGGCAGCUUACUGGAACUACAUUGACACUGAGAGACGAAAGCGUGGGGAGCGAAAAGGAUUAGAUACCCUUGUAGUCCACGCCCUAAACGAUGAUAACUAGGUGUUGGGGCCAGACCCCAGUGCUGAAGUAAACACAUUAAGUUAUCCACCUGAGAAGUACGGUCGCAAGAUUAAAACUCAAAGGAAUAGACGGGGACCCACACAAGCAGUAGAUCACGUGGUUUAAUUCGAUAAUAAACGGGGAACCUUACCUAGGCUUGACAUCCUGAGAACACUCUAGAAACAGAGAAGUGCCUUUAUUGGAACUCAGAGACAGGUGCUGCAUGGUUGUCGUCAGCUCGUGCCUUGAGGUGUUCAGUUAAGUCUGUUAACGAGCGCAACCCAUGUCACUAGUUACACAUGUCUAGUGAGACUGCCUUGGUUAACAAGGAGGAAGGUGUGGAUGACGUCAAAUCAGCAUGGCUCUUACGCCUAGGGCUACACACAUGAUACAAUGGUAUGAACAAAAGGAAGUGAAACAGCAAUGUGGAACCAAUCCCCAAAACAUAUCCUAGUCCGGAUUGGAGUCUGAAAUUCGACUCCAUGAAGUUGGAAUUGCUAGUAAUCGUGAAUCAGAUAUGUCACGGUGAAUAAGUUCCUGGGUCUUGUACUCACUGCCCGUC
rnacentral:rRNA from 1 species